rnacentral:misc_RNA from 1 species
AAAUCGUAACAAGGUUUCCGUAGGUGAACCUGCGGAAGGAUCAUUAACACGUAUCCAAACGUUAAAAUGCCCCCUAAUAACCCCACAGUUUAAUGUGGAGCUCAAUGUAAUACAUUGGGUAAAAAAACCGAACAACUGUUAACAAUGGAUUUCUUGGUUCUC